AAUCAACGCUGGCGGCGUGCCUAACACAUGCAAGUCGAACGCGAGAGUCCCGCAAGGGACAAUUGAGUGGCAAACGGGUGAGUAACACGUGGGUGACCUGCCUUCGAGUGGGGGAUAACGUCCCGAAAGGGACGCUAAUACCGCAUGACAUCCUGCCCUUGGACAGGCGGAGAUCAAAGCCGGGGAUUGCAAGACCUGGCGCUUGAAGAGGGGCCCGCGUCUGAUUAGCAGUUGGUGAGGUAACGGCUCACCAAGGCGACGAUCAGUAUCCGGCCUGAGAGGGCGGACGGACACACUGGGACUGAGACACGGCCCAGACUCCUACGGGAGGCAGCAGUGGGAAUUGUUCGCAAUGGGCGCAAGCCUGACGACGCAACGCCGCGUGGAGGACGAAGAUCUUC
rnacentral:rRNA from 1 species